rnacentral:rRNA from 1 species
CGGCGUAAAGAGUGGUUAUGGAGAACUAAACACUAAAGCCGAAGACUCCUUAGGCCGUCAUACGCACCUAGGGGUUCGAAUUAUAUACACGAAAGUAGCUUUACCCUUUCCCACCAGAACCCACGACAGCCGGGACACAAACUGGGAUUAGAUACCCCACUAUGCCCCGCCGUAAACUUAGAUAUUCCAGUACAACAAAUAUCCGCCAGGGGACUACGAGCGCCAGCUUAAAACCCAAAGGACUUGGCGGUGCUUCAGACCCCCCUAGAGGAGCCUGUUCUAGAACCGAUAACCCCCGUUCAACCUCACUACUCCUUGCUUUUCCCGCCUAUAUACCACCGUCGCCAGCUUACCCUGUGAAGGUACUACAGUAAGCAGAAUGAGUAAUACUCAGAACGUCAGGUCGAGGUGUAGCGUACGAAGUAGGAAGAAAUGGGCUACAUUAUCUGAUCCAGAUUAUUCACGGAAGGCUGCCUGAAAGGACAACCCGAAGGUGGAUUUAGCAGUAAAGGGGGAAUAGAGUGCCCCCUUGAAGCCGGCUCUGAAGCGCGCACACACCGCCCGUCACUCUCCCCAACAACC